UACGUAGGGGGCUAGCGUUGUCCGGAAUCAUUGGGCGUAAAGAGCGUGUAGGCGGCCCGGUAAGUCCGCUGUGAAAGUCAAAGGCUCAACCUUUGAAUGUCAGUGGAUACUGCCGGGCUAGAGUCCGGAAGAGGCGAGUGGAACUCCUGGUGUAGCGGUGGAAUGCGCAGAUAUCAGGAGGAACACCCGUAGCGAAGGCGGCACUCUGGGCCGAUACUGACACUGAGGAGCGAAAGCGUGGGGAGCGAACAGG
rnacentral:rRNA from 1 species